AGAACCUUUAAAUUCAGUCCUGUGAGGCUGAGAAGGGGUCGGAUGAAGGAAAUAAAAAUCGUGGCAUGUCCUUGUUAUGCGUGUACGAACGGUUCCUCUCGCUUCUCAGGCGGGAGGAUUUUUUUGU
rfam:Geobacillus caldoxylosilyticus NBRC 107762 DNA, contig: GCA01S005.